rnacentral:lncRNA from 1 species
AAAAAAAUUCAUGUUCAUAUCAUGUAUGUACUAAUGUGAAAUUGUGAUUUAAUCGAGAAAAAAAAGGGGGUCUUGCCACGAAGAAUAAAAAGUACGCAAUCCUGAAGUCAAAACAUUUUUUUUCUACUUUCUGUUUGCUAUUUUUACUAGGCCGCACCACUUCCAGUAAACAUGAUAUCCUUCCACUUUCCUGGAUUGAUAUCCCC